UACGUAGGGUGCAAGCGUUGUCCGGAAUUAUUGGGCGUAAAGAGCUCGUAGGCGGUUUGUUGCGUCGGCUGUGAAAUCCCGAGGCUCAACCUCGGGUCUGCAGUCGAUACGAGCAAACUAGAGUGUUGCAGGGGAGACUGGAAUUCCAGGUGUAGCGGUGAAAUGCGUAGAUAUCUGGAGGAACACCGGUGGCGAAGGCGGCAUCCUGGACCGACACUGACGCUGAAGCGCGAAAGCUAGGGUAGCAAACGGG
rnacentral:rRNA from 1 species